rnacentral:lncRNA from 1 species
AGACGGAACCCUCCAGACUCAUUCAGCACAAAGUGGCUGCAGAGGAAAUCCUGCCAGGCCAAUGAUAAGGGGGGAAAUGGAGUCACUUCCUUACCAGCUGCUUUAUUCAGGAUGCCUUUGUGGAGCUGUAUGGGCCCAGCAUGCGGCCUCUAUUUGAUUUCUCCUGGCUGUCUCUGAAGGCGCUGCUCAGUCUGGCCCUGGUGGGAGCUUGCAUCACCCUGGGUGCCUAUCUGGGCCAUAAGUGAAGUCCACGGGCCUGCCACAAACAAAUAUGCAAAAGGUUCACUAAAGCAGUAGAAAUGAUAAUGCAGUGUCAAUGACGUACCAUGCAAAGAAGCUGUGGUCUCUUAAACACACACAAAAAAACCAACGAAAAAACAGAUUUCAGGCUCAAUGUCGAAUCAGCUACUUACUGCCAAAGGGAAAUACAAUUUAUUUUUUACAUUAUUAAGAAAAAUAAGAUUUAUUUAUUUAAGACAGCCCCGUCGAACCUCCUGUUUUUGGAACCCUACCACUAAUUAUCAAGCCACCCCUACCACCACCACCUCUUACAGCUCCGCCUGAAUCUCCUGUGCCUAUAAACACGGAUUUCUGUUCCAUGUUGUUGGCUAGACUGACUCACCAUCUGAAAAGCAAACAAACUGACAAAGGACUAGACUGUUCCAGAAGCCAGGUUUCUGGCUGCUGGAGGUUAGGAAGAAAGUAUUCACUUUCUUUGCCUUUUUUUUUUUUUUUCUUUUUUUGUUCUGAAGGCUGUGAUAUCAAUAGAGGGAAGGUGCUUGGAGGGGACACUCUUCUUCCCCAAGAAGAACAGGAGUUUUGCAUAUGGUACACACCCGGCUGGAAGAAACAAAUCCAGAACUUCAGAUGGACUUGGUAUUUGCCAAGAUUUCCACCCCGAAGGACAGUGAUGAGAAAAAUGCCCUUAAACCAUAGAAAAGUAUUUUUUUAAGCUACCAAUUGUGCCCAGAAGCAUUUUAGCAAUUUAUACAAUAUCAACCAGUACCUUAAGCCCUGAUGUGUAUAUUCAUAUAUUUUGGAUACGCUCCCCCUCCAAUUACUGGCUCUCUCUCCGUAUGAAACAGAAUCCUCUGGAAUGCGAGGAAGUGAACGUUUCGGUGACUUCUUCGGCAUCAGAAAGCAUCAGGCCGCCACAAGUGCCUGCUUUUCUGCAAGAGGCUGCGGUCAGAGGUUCUACCUGGCCCUGGCUCAGAGGCGUCAUCCUGGGACUGAGCCUGGGCACACGCUGUCCUGCACCAGGGGUAUGAAACGGAGCAGUGUGGUCUAUGAACGUCCAGAAGCUGAGGGAGCUCAGAAUUGUGCCGGCAGGAAAGAAGGCAGGAGGCCCGGGGCUGCUUCUCCCGCCCCAGGGUUAGGCCCCUUUCCGCCUGGAGCGUGAACCUGGGAGCUAAGGCUCUUAAGACUUUUAUCACUGUGGAGAGAAGGAAAAGGAAAAGCAGGCACUGCCCCUUUCCUCGCAGAGGUAGGCGGGGAAGCUGAGGAUGCCGGAUGCCCACGCCCACGGGAAACACGUGCGGUCCCUGAGCACUGUGGCCGGUGUGCCUGCGCAUUGGCUGUGCAGCCACCAGCCAGCCUGUCUGUGCGGCCACCAGCCAGCCUGUCUGUGCAGCUUAAAGCAAGAUUUUAAAUGCUUCGGGAAGGUCAUAAAUCCUAAAGGAAGCGUUGAAAUGACGUGUCAUGGAUUAACUGACCUAUGUCUGUGGAAUUUCGGUAAAACAUUAUCUUGUCAUUGUAGUUUGGUCUCAUUUGAAAAACCUGACAGAGGGGGGAAAAGUUCCAGGUAUGGAAUGUGGGGAUUAUCUGUACAUCCUGGGGCGUUAACAAAGAAAAAAGGAAAAAACAAAAAACAAACAGAGGUGAAAAACGCCAUAGAGCAGAGAGGUAGCAAAAGAAGUGAAAUCUCCAGCUUAUAAACGAGGAAAUAGUUUUUCAAGUUUAGAAUCAGCCUUGACACACGCAUGGAAUAACUGUGGCAUUAUUGCAUUAUAUACCAUUUAUCCGUAUUAACUUUGGAAUGUACUAUGUUCAAUGUUUAAUGCUGUGGUUGAUAUUUCGAAAGCUGCUUUUUUAAAAAAAAAAAAAGAUACAUGCAUCUCAGCAUCUUUUAAAAAAAUUAUAUUUAGUUAUGGCCUCUACACUAUUUGUAGAUCAUUUUUCCACUUGAGAAUUUUGUCUCUUAAUUCUUUAAAAGCAUUUCUGAGGAGAUGAGAUAAGCCCUGGGUCUCAGCUACCUGAGAAACCCUGGAACAUGCAGGCCACUGAGCCACUUUGCUUCAACCAAGUUAUGUCCACUUCCAUGUCAACAGAAUUGUUUAUUGUGAGGGACGUACCUGUUACCCCUUGACCUUGUUCCUGAGGUUUACUUGUCCUAGGCCAAAUCAGAAUUGAACUCACAUUAUUUAGGAUUGCAUACAUAUUUGGUUAAACCCAUGAGGUUCAUUCAGUUGGAAAUCCAGAUGGGAAAUGACCAGGGAAUUAAAUUCUGGCUACAACGGUUUGAGCUUUAGAGAGAUGGUUUGCGUGGCCUGUCUCCACGUAGACCUGUCUAGAGCCCUCCCACCUUCCUUCCAGAGGGCCCUUCUCCGUGGUCAUCCUCACAUUCUUCCCGAAAUGCAGUGGCACUUACACCCCCACACGGAGAAAGCAGGAAACCCCAUGGUAUGAAGCCAGACCUCCCUGGCGGGCCUCAGGGAACAGGACGCUCAGACUUUGAAUGAUUCUAAUUUUGAAGCAAAAGGUUAUUUUAUGAAAGGUUUACAUUGUCAAAAGUGAUGAAUAUGGAAUAUCAAAUCCUGUGCUGCUAUCCUGCCAAGAUCAUUCUGACGGAGUCGGUCUGCAGUACACUCCAGUGAUGAGCCCCUUCAAGCUGCUUAGUAGUAACCAUAAAGAACACAAUUUUAAUAUAAAACCUGUUUGUCUUUUGUUGUCGUUGUUUUUCAAACUUGGAUUCACAAAGUAUUCUAAAAAUGUAUAUAUAAAAAAGGUCACGGGGGGCUAAUUGCUGGCUGGUUUCCUUUCGUUGCUGGCUUAUGAUACCUGGUUUUCAGGAUAAAUGUUCCCAGCCGCCUGCCCCCCAGAACUGUACAGUAUUGUGGCUGCACUCUCUCUAAGGGUAGUUGAAGUUGCAUUUUUCUUGUUGUUAAAAACAUGUUAGAAGCAAUGAAUGUAUAUAAAAGCCCCAACUAGUCUGUUUUUCUCCUCCCUUUUCUUGGCAUUGUCUCAGUUAUUUUGCCGUUGGACAGCAUUCCUAUUUUGUGUGACAGGAUUCGCCCCUGAAUUACCAUCGGCGUAGUGCAUGUGUUGACCCAGGUCAGGGUUCAGUAGAACAUGUUUCCAGAUGGAGGUCAAGGGCUCUAGAAAAAAGCCACAAGGAGAAAAGCACUCCAGAACCUCCUUGGUCCUCCCGAGCCCUCACUGCACAAAGCAGUUCAAAAGAGAGAGCAAAAUGACAGCUCACCAUCUUCUGCAGCAAACAGCUCAUCUCAGAUUUUACGGUGGCUGAAACGUCUGGAGGUUUAAGAUUUGGAUUAAAGUCACAUUUCAAAUUAAGGAAGCACCUCGCUGUAGUUCAAGCCCCAAACCAACAUCCUCUGCCCCAGGCCACUUAUCUCUGCAUAGUCAGACAUGACCUCCCAUUUAGAUGUGACUUUGAUUUCAUUAGUAAAUAUUUAUGCUUACCAUCUAAAGACCUGGUGCUGGCCCAGUGUGGGAAAUUAGGAAGUGGUUAUAAAUCAAGAAGAGUUUGAAUAAUCAGGAUUAAACUUAAAUAAGUAGGACAGUCCCAACAUGCAUCUGGCUUUUUCUGCAUCGAGGAUCUAUGGAAUGAAUAGAAUUGAAAAUUGUCUGUAUUGUCGUUAAACUUAUGCUAAAAUGAUGAAUUUAUACAUGUGAACCUAAAUUCUAAUUUCCAUUGUACUUGUAAGGCAGCAGCUGUUUUUUCACUUCCUUAUCACCUAUAGUUAGUAAUGUAUACCUCCUCUAUCAGAAAAAAAAAAAAAAAAACAGGAAGGGCUUGAAAUAUAAGCCAUUUGAAGGAAAUUAAGGAGUCGGUAGAAAUCCUAUUCUCAUCUUAUUCUGUGAUGUCUUUUGCAGCCCAGACAAAUGUGGUUACACACUUUUUAAGAAAUAACAAUUCUACUUUGUCAGGCUUAUGAAGGUUCCAGUCAGAUCUUUAUUGCUACUCAAUUUGAAUCUUCCCAGAGACUUUUUAAAAAAAUUAUUAUGGGACAAAGGACAUUUGUUGCAGGGGCGGGAGAGAGGAAGGAUUUUCAAGUGAGCAAAGCAUUCCUAAGAUUGGAUCAGGGUAUGGAGGCUUUCAGAAUAUGAGAUGGAAGCAAGUGGGAACUUCACUAGGAUCAAUGCGAUGCCUCAUGAAGGCACUUAUGCAACAAACAAGAAACACUUUUAAGUUCUGUGGUAUAUUUAGCUUCUAGAGACAACAGAACUCAGAGUCCAGUUCUGCAUGGCAAUGCAGAUGGACCAAAACUCUUAAACAUCUGCCAUCAAUGGUAUUAAUUUCAAGCCUGGAUAUGUCUAAUGGUUUAAACAAUACAUUUGCAACUUCACCCAAGAGAAUAGUUAAUGAAAACCUUCUGGUUGGUAGGGACAUCUAUUUCUAAAUAUUUGUUAUGCACAAUUCGGGGUGAGGGUGGGUGGGACUGGAUUGAGUAAACAAUAAAAGUUCCUUAUCCUUACCCAAAGAAUCGUUCUAGUCCAUGUCUGUGCUCAUAGGACAGGCUGUAGACAACCAUGAAAUAAGCAUCCCACAGGGCACAAACAUCACCAGAUAGAGUAUGAAGGGUAUUGCCCCAAUUCAUCAUGGCUACCCCAGAAAAAUAGCUGAAAGCCAAUAUAUAUCCUAUUGAUGACAAGGUUGUUUUGGGUCCCAAGGUAAGCUCAACAGACAAAAACACUUGUGGAAGAUGGAAAGGCUUAAUCAAAAGAUCCUAGGAUUGUUCCUGAAUAUGACUAUUGUGUACCAGUAAUACCAUAUCCCUAAACCUUUUAGGGACUCUGCUGUGGGCCUUCCAGCCAGCUCACUUCAUUAAGUUUUUGCCUCCAGGGUAGCAUUUGAAGGAGUGAUAGCCUAUCAAAUUUCUUUGGAGGAAGCUUUGGUGAUUGUGUUUUUUUAUACUAUCUUAAGUUUUCAGGCAACUUUUGCUUUUGUUUUGAGUUAGUGUGAUUAUUUUUGUUUUCAAUAAAAAUAAGUGUAUAAAAAGUGGUUUUGUAUUGAAAGCUUUUGUUAUCGAGAUGUUCACAUUUCUCCCUUCCCGGGGCUGUUUUAAGAUUGACAGGAGUUUCCAUUGUGGCUCAGCAGUAAGGAACCUGAUUAGUAUUCAUGAGGACCCAAGUUCUAUCACUGGCCUCACUCAGUGGAUUAAGGAUUCAGCAUUGCUGUGAGCUGCG